GUGUUCGCUUUGGUAGUAUAUGUACUAAAAUUGGAAUGAUUCAGAGUAGAUUAGCAUGGCCCCUAAAAAAAAAUCACUGAGAAGUCAAAGAUUGGCUU
rnacentral:snRNA from 1 species